rnacentral:rRNA from 1 species
AUUGAACGCUGGCGGAAUGCUUUACACAUGCAAGUCGAACGGCAGCACGGGGGCAACCCUGGUGGCGAGUGGCGAACGGGUGAGUAAUACAUCGGAACGUGCCCAGUCGUGGGGGAUAACGCAGCGAAAGCUGUGCUAAUACCGCAUACGAUCUAUGGAUGAAAGCGGGGGACCGUAAGGCCUCGCGCGAUUGGAGCGGCCGAUGGCAGAUUAGGUAGUUGGUGGGGUAAAGGCUCACCAGGCCGACGAUCUGUAGCUGGUCUGAGAGGACGACCAGCCACACUGGGGCUGAGACACGGCCCAGACUCCUAAGGGAGGCAGCAGUGGGGAAUUUUGGAGAAUGGGCGCAAGACUGAUCCAGCCAUUCCGCGUGCAGGAUGAAGGCCCUCGGGUUGUAAACUGCUUUUGUACGGAACGAAAAGCCUUCUUCUAAUACAGGAGGGUCAUGACGGUACCGUAAGAAUAAGCACCGGCUAACUACGUGCCAGCAGCCGCCGUAA